AACGGUCUAUACCUGCGGUACCUGCGGAGGGAUCAUUAAAGAGUUUAACUACUCAAACCAUUGUGAACCUUACCUCAACCGUUGCUUCGGCGGGCGGGCCCGGGCCAAGCCCGGCGCCCCCCCGGCCCCUCGCGGGCGCCCGCCGGAGGUUAACCGAACCCUUGAAUUGUAUGGCCUCUCUGAGUCUUCUGUACUGAAUAAGUCAAAACUUUCAACAAUGGAUCUCUAGAUCGGAAGAGC
rnacentral:misc_RNA from 1 species